GUCUGCACCAACUCGAUGUACCCCCCGAUCCACCAGGCAUGUGCAUCUGAAUGAUUAUUGAUACAUUAAGUGAAUAAUUUGAAUGCGAGAGGCCAUCAUCGUUUCAAGUUCUUCUACAUCACAUAGGUCAAACCCUGGGUUUCGGGGACUGCUGCACUUGAGUACUUUCAAUAUGCUUGGAGUUGCCUGCAGCCCAAAAUUUUUGAUGCUCAAGACAAAGGUUGAUUGUGAUGCUUAAGAAGUUUUAUGUUCUUUUAUUUUUUUUGGUAAGUAAAGCAGACUUUUUUACUUGGGAUAUUUAUUGUAUGCUUUCAAAUAUCAAAUUCUCUGGAUCUAUAACUCUUAUAUAUUAUUAUGAGUUAAACCA